GGCCGCAAGGUUAAAACUCAAAUGAAUUGACGGGGGCCCGCACAAGCGGUGGAGCAUGUGGUUUAAUUCGAUGCAACGCGAAGAACCUUACCUGGUCUUGACAUCCACAGAACUUUCCAGAGAUGGACUGGUGCCUUCGGGAACUGUGAGACAGGUGCUGCAUGGCUGUCGUCAGCUCGUGUUGUGAAAUGUUGGGUUAAGUCCCGCAACGAGCGCAACCCUUAUCCUUUGUUGCCAGCGAUUCGGUCGGGAACUCAAAGGAGACUGCCAGUGAUAAACUGGAGGAAGGUGGGGAUGACGUCAAGUCAUCAUGGCCCUUACGACCAGGGCUACACACGUGCUACAAUGGCGCAUACAAAGAGAAGCGACCUCGCGAGAGCAAGCGGACCUCAUAAAGUGCGUCGUAGUCCGGAUUGGAGUCUGCAACUCGACUCCAUGAAGUCGGAAUCGCUAGUAAUCGUGGAUCAGAAUGCCACGGUGAAUACGUUCCCGGGCCUUGUACACACCGCCCGUCACACCAUGGGAGUGGGUUGCAAAAGAAGUAGGUAGCUUAACCUUCGGGAGGGCGCUUACCACUUUGUGAUUCAUGACUGGGGUGAAGUCGUAACAAGGUAACCGUAGGGGAACCUGCGGUUGGAUCACCUCCUUACCUUAAAGAAGC
rnacentral:rRNA from 1 species